rnacentral:rRNA from 1 species
GACGAACGCUGGCGGCGUGCUUAACACAUGCAAGUCGAGCGGUAAGGCUCCUUCGGGGGUACACGAGCGGCGAACGGGUGAGUAACACGUGAGUAAUCUGCCCUUCACUUCGGGAUAACCAUCGGAAACGGUGGCUAAUACCGGAUACGACACUCUCCUGCAUGGGAUGGGUGUGGAAAGUUUUUUCGGUGGGGGAUGUGCUCGCGGCCUAUCAGCUUGUUGGUGAGGUAAUGGCUCACCAAGGCUUCGACGGGUAGCCGGCCUGAGAGGGUGACCGGCCACACUGGGACUGAGACACGGCCCAGACUCCUACGGGAGGCAGCAGUGGGGAAUAUUGGACAAUGGGCGAAAGCCUGAUCCAGCAACGCCGCGUGAGGGAUGACGGCCUUCGGGUUGUAAACCUCUUUCAGCUCCGACGAAGCGCCUUUACAGGUUGUGACGGUAGGUGCAGAAGAAGGACCGGCCAACUACGUGCCAGCCGCCGCAGUAACAC